AUACGUAGGUGGCAAGCGUUGUCCGGAAUUACUGGGUGUAAAGGGCGUGUAGGCGGGGAUGCAAGUCAGAUGUGAAAUUCCGGGGCUCAACCCCGGCACUGCAUCUGAAACUGUGUCUCUUGAGUGCUGGAGAGGAAAGCGGAAUUCCUAGUGUAGCGGUGAAAUGCGUAGAUAUUAGGAGGAACACCAGUGGCGAAGGCGGCUUUCUGGACAGUAACUGACGCUGAGGCGCGGAAGCGUGGGUAGCGAACAGGAUUAGAUACCCUGGUAGUCCACGCCGUAAACGAUGGAUACUAGGUGUAGGAGGUAUCGACCCCUUCUGUGCCGGAGUUAACACAAUAAGUAUCCCACCUGGGGAGUACGGCCGCAAGGUUGAAACUCAAAUGAAUUGGCGGGG
rnacentral:rRNA from 1 species